CAGUCAUGCUAGUGAGGAAUCAACUUGAUGGUUUGUGGGUUCGCUCGCAUACUCUCCGGUGCACUUCCUCACUCGGCAGGUCAGCAUCAAUUUCGGUUAUCAUAAAAAAUUUGAGGGAAUGUGACUUUUCUUCGGAAAAGUGUUAUAGACCUUGAUCUAUGUGGUGACCGGGAUUGAGGAUUGCAGCGGAUACCCCUUGUGGCUGGUUACCUGGCUUCUGGUACCGGUUACCCGCUUUCGACAGCUCGCUAACGUU
rnacentral:rRNA from 1 species